rnacentral:lncRNA from 1 species
CUAACUUUUAAAACAAUACCAAAAAUGAAGAGUGUCACAUGGAUUACCGGUUGAUCAUCAGAUAAGCUAGGCUUUCAGUUCCCGUUUCAUUGCUAAAGAGCUCUGUGAGUGUGGUAGGCAGCCUCCAAGGUGGUGUUCGAUGACCUCUUCCUUCGGGUAUUCCUGCCCUUGUGUAGUCCCUGCCCACGUGCUAUCAGGGUAGCUCUUCAUAACUGAUAGAAUAUGGUGGAAGGAAUGUUCAUCACUGCUGGGGGUAGAUUAUAAAAGACAUGGCAGCUUCUCUACCUGGCUCUCUCUUGCAUCACUCAUUCUAAAGGAAGUCAGUUGCUCUGUCCUAAUAACACUCAAACAGCCCAAUGGCAGGGCCCUGAGGGGUUUCAGCAGAAGCCACCCCAGGACGUGCCACUUUGGCCUAUGUAUUGUCUUGAACUGAAGACGGUCAAGGUCCAAUAGACUAAAGGAGAGCUUUUUACCUCCCCCUUAACUGCAUUUAAGAAUUCAGAUAGAGGAACAGCGCUCUCAUCAGUGCUAACUAACAAGAGUAGGGCCUGGGUGUGGUGAGCUGGGAGGAGGUGAGCAGGCCAGGUUUGCUCAAAGCCCUCUGCAUGCCCCAUUGUCACUGCACAGCAUGACUAACAUUUUUUUAUCAAGCAUCUUCUCUUUUCAUCUUCCUGUGUUUUCAGCCCCAAACCCCUACCUACUUCUCCUUAGCUCAGGAUGGCCUAUCAGCUUUAUUUACCUGUCUUCGACCCGCCUCAUGUCUAUAUGAGGCUCACAUACAAAGAUAAAUUUGUUUUUCUCCUAUUCAUGUGUCUUAGGUCAAUGUAAUUAUUAUACCAGUCAGAGAACCUAGGAAGGAAGAUGGGAAAAGUUUGUCUCCCCUUUGGCCCAUGUGGUGAGGAACAGAGGUCUGUGACCAACAAUCAUUUCAGUGAGUCUGGAAGGAGAUCUUCCAGCCCCAGUCAAGCCUUCUGAUGACUGGUGUCAGCAGACAAUUUGACUGCAACCUCAUAAGAGAUCCUGAGCCAGAACCACCGCUUAAGUAGUUCUUAAAUUCCUGACCCACAAAAACUAGGAUAUAAUACAGUCAUCCUUUGGUAGCCAGUGGGGAUUUGAUUCAGGAUCCACCAUAAAUAAUAAAAAUCCAUGGAUGCUCAAGACCCAUAGUCGGUCCUCCAUAUUCAUGGGCUCUGCAUCUGCACAUUCAACCAACCACAGAUAACACAAAUGUACUACAUGAUCUGCGCUUGGGUGAAUCUGUGGAUGUGGAGCCCCUAGGUGCAAAAGGCCAAAUAUAUUAAAAAAACUCUGUAUCUUAGUGGACCUGUGCAGUUCAAACCUGUGUUAUUCAAAGGUCAACUGUUUUCAAAUGUACUAUAUGCCAAAUAGGACACCUUACAGACUAACAAUGCAAAAAUAUGUCACCAGUUUAACUUCUGCAUAGUCCUUUAAAUAAAAUCUGCUAUUCUUUUGCAUAUUAAAGAAGUCAACUCUACGUAUUUAUUCUCUAAAGCCACUAAAUUGUGGGGUAAUUUGCUACGCAGUAAUAGAUAACUAAUGCAAUUACCUAGUAGGAAGAACCAUUUUACGUUUCCAUUUCUCAGGUUAUUUUUAGUCAAUAAAUAUUUACUGCCUAAUGUGCCAGAUAUUAUUAAAAUGAGAGUUGGAAUAAGUGCUCCUCCUAGAAAUAACGUUGUGGUUUUCAAUCAUCAGGGAAUCUGUCAGACUAUUCUUACAAUAGAAUCCGUAGUUUUCUAGAUCAAAUGCUCACUUUUAGAAAGGUCCAAACACUACCCGAAACCAACACCAUUACUCAGAUGACCCAACAAUCAAACCCAUAUCACUUGUUGCUUUCCCAGCUCUCCUUGCCACCAAUGGUGGCCAUGUGACGUAAUGCUGGUCAAUGAGACAGAAUAGCCAUUUGUUUAAAGGGUUUCCAUAAAAGGUUUUAAUUUCCUGAUAAAAUAGGCAAAUAAGGCCAGUACCACUCUUCCCUCCCGUCUGCUCUCACUAGAGCCCAAUGCCUGGAGCUAUGGCAACCACCUUGUGGCCAUGAGGGAAAGGCUAGAGGAUUAAGACAUAUCAGGCCUUGAUAUAGUUGAGCUGCCAAACCAAUGCCAGGAGCUUCCUGCCUGCAGAGAUAUAGAACGUUAUUUAAGACAGAAACGUUGCACCUUCCAUCCUUACAGCCAAAUUCAAUCUUAAUUAACCCAAUACCACAGGAAGUGAUGAAUUUCAAAAGAAAUAAGCAAGUUUCCCCACUAUCUCCUUUGCUCUGAAUUCAUGAAUUGUUGGGAUAUAUUUUUGUUAACGUCAACACUACCAAUGACAAAGCCACGCUCCUGCCUUCCUAAGCCAUAGUCAAUAGUAUAGUCAUAAGACAACAUUUCUUGAAUGCUCACCAUGAAAAAAGCACUUUUAAAAGCACUAAUUCACUUAAUCUUCACUAUCAUAUCUUGAGGUCAAUACUAUUGUUUUCUACAUUUUGUAGAUAAGAAAACACAGAGGUCGGAGUUUCCAUGGUGGCACAGCAGAAACGAAUCCGACUAGGAACCAUGAGGUUGAGGGUUCGAUCCCUGGCCUCACUCAGUGGGUUAAGGAUCCAACAUUGCCAUGAGCUGUGGUGUAGGUCACAGACAUGGCUCAGAUCUGACAUUGCUGUGGCGUAGGCCGGUGGCUACAGCUCCAAUUAGACCCUUAGCCUGGAAAUCUCCAUAAGCUAUAGAAGUGGCCGAAAGAAAGAAAGAACAUAGAGGAAACUUGCAAGGUUCCAUAAUGAAUUAAAUAGUAAACCUGAUUAUUUAGUCUUUAUCUUCUUCACCAUUUUGCUUGCUCAUCUGACAGAAUCAGAUAAAGCAAUAAACACAAGAAAAAAUGGCAUCCGUGCCACCCGCCAAAUGCAUAAGAUGUUCCAUG